ensembl:rRNA 5S_rRNA 5S ribosomal RNA
GUCUACGGCCAUUCCACCCUGAACAUACCUGAUCUCGUCUGAUCUCAGAAGCUAAGCAGGGUCGGGCCUGGUUAGUACUUGGAUGGGAGAAAUAUGGCUGCUUCUGACA